GUGAAUCAUCAAAUUUUUGAACGCAAAUUGCACUCUCUUCGGAGAGUAUGCCUGUUUGAGGGUCAGUAUUAAUAAAAAUCGGUGUGUUGCUUCUUUGUGACGCUCCGGAGUUUGGGUCAUCUUAAUAUCCUUUGGGUUUUAGAGGCCUAAAAUUGAAUUUUUUUGCGCCUUUUAGAUGUACAUAAAUUUUUUUUUUUAUUCGUUUUUCUUAAUGCCUAAAAUCCUAAUUGAUUCGACCAUU
rnacentral:misc_RNA from 1 species